UAUCUUUUAUAUUAGGAGGCGAGGAAUUCCAUAGCUGUGGACCAAAGUAAAAUAUGCUGUGCUUGAAUAACUGUGUGCGGAAUUGCGGGCACUCCAAAUUCAAGUUCCCACCUCUUGUUGCAUACGGUGAAUCUACACAUUUAAAGGAGUUAUGGGUGGCAGGAGGUUGAUGAAAUGUGUGGUGGUGUCACAAGUGAAGCACAGUGAGCGUUCCUGCAGGGUGAAGCAAUGAUGAGACAAGCGUCACCAGUCAGCGAGGCCGAAAUCAAGCGACCGCCGGCAGAGAGGAGUCUUCUGGACGUUUGAAGAGUACCACCUUCUUGAAGCACAGAGCACAGACAGCGCUGGAAACUGGACUACUACAGUUUGAGCAGAGUCCAACAUCUGUGUAUCUGCACCAGAAUCAAGUGUCCAGGGAGGAAAUGAUACGUCUGCAGAGAUGUGCCAGGAGGAGGGACUCUUGGAACAGGCCUUCACACAACAGGGAUUGGGGUGGGGGUGGGGGGACCUUAUAGCAGCAGGUGACUAGGAGAGAGGUUCCCCACAAGAUGCAACACACCACAUCCUCCAAACGCAAAAUAUAUUUGCCAAUAAAGGCAAGUUUGUGUGCCACUCUGUUGAUUUGAAGCAGCAAAACGUGCGGGUAUGACACCGUGUUGUAAUCAAUUGUAUAGUAUUGUCUAGUAAUCAACGUUUUUAUUACUACCAUUAUUAUUAUCUUGGUGUCACUCUAACUGUCACGUCGACUUCACAUCUCGUGUGUUAGUAAUUUAUCAACAUUUUACUAUUCAUUCUCAACACUUACUAUUGUUAUUGGUAAUAGUGUAUUAUUGUGUGAUCAAUAUUAGCAUUACUAUCAUUGCCCUACUGUUACUAUUGUUAUCAUUACUAGUACCAAUACUACUUUCAUUACUAUUGCUAGGUAAUACUUCAUGUAAAAUUACUUCAUUGAUUCAGGAUCCUCUACAUUAUCUACUGUUUUAUACUGACAAUUUCAUUAAUUAUUUCUAUUUUA